rnacentral:rRNA from 1 species
GGACGAACGCUGGCGGCGUGCUUAACACAUGCAAGUCGAACGGGAGUAUUGAAGAAGCUUGCUUUAGAGAUACUUUAGUGGCGGACGGGUGAGUAACGCGUGAGGAGCUGUCCUAUGCAGGGGGACAACAGCUGGAAACGGCUGCUAAUACCCCAUAAGCCGAGAGGUAAAAGGAUCAAUCCGGCAGAGGAGGUACUCGCGUCCUAUCAGCUAGUAGGUGAGGUAACGGCUCACCUAGGCGAAGACGGGUAGCCGGCCUGAGAGGGCGAACGGCCACACUGGAACUGAGAUACGGUCCAGACUCCUACGGGAGGCAGCAGUGGGGAAUAUUGGGCAAUGGGGAAACCCUGACCCAGCGACGCCGCGUGGGUGAAGAAAUCCUUCGGGAUGUAAAGCCCUGUUGUAUGGGAAGAGCGGAAGACGGUACCAUACGAGGAAGCCCCGGCAAACUACGUGCCAGCAGCCGCGGUAAUACGUAGGAGGCAAGCGUUAUCCGGAUUUACUGGGCGUAAAGCGCGUGUAGGUGGUUUGGUAAGUAGGGCGUGAAAGCUCCUGGCUCAACUGGGAGAGGACGUUCUAAACUGCCAAGCUUGAGGAUGGUAGAGGGAGGUGGAAUUCCGGGUGUAGCGGUGGAAUGCGCAGAUAUCCGGAGGAACACCAGUGGCGAAGGCGGCNNNNNUGGACCACUCCUGACACUCAGACGCGAAAGCUAGGGUAGCAAACGGGAUUAGAGACCCCGGUAGUCCUAGCCCUAAACGAUGUAGACUUGGCGUCGGUGGUUUAAUCGCCAUCGGUGUCGUAGCUAACGCGUUAAGUCUACCGCCUGGGGACUACGGCCGCAAGGUUAAAACUCAAGGGAAUUGACGGGUCCCCGCACAAGCAGCGGAGCGUGUGGUUUAAUUCGAUGCUACACGAAGAACCUUACCUGGGUUUGACAUAGAGGUAGUAGGGAAGCGAAAGCGGACCGACCCUUCGGGGAGCCUCUACAGGUGUUGCAUGGCUGUCGUCAGCUCGUGUCGUGAGAUGUUCGGUUAAGUCCGCUAACGAGCGCAACCCUCGCUGUGUGUUACAAGUGUCACACGGUACUGCCGAUAUUAAGUCGGAGGAAGGUGGGGAUGACGUCAAGUCAGCAUGACCUUUAUAUCCAGGGCUACACACACGCUACAAUGGCCAGUACAAUGGGUUGCCAAGCCGCGAGGCGGAGCCAAUCCUAAAAAGCUGGCCUCAGUUCAGAUUGCAGUCUGCAACUCGACUGCAUGAAGUUGGAGUUGCUAGUAACCGCAGGUCAGCAAUACUGCGGUGAAUACGUUCCCGGGGAU